AAGGGCCCGUGCGCAAGUUGUUUUCACUAAGCUACAGCGUGCCUGCUUAUUGUUUGCAACUAGACAUUAGACUUAAUUAGGGUUAGUCCCCAGCUAAAGGUUGGGAAAGACAAAAAAGAGCCCAGACCAAACGUCAGGACACGCUGACCGGAGCUGUAGAACAGCUGCUGUGACCAGGCACGGCUUCCCCAAGCAGCCACGGUGCCCUCAGAGGACACCAGCGGCACACGGCGAAGCGUUACACAGCUGUGUCUGCCUGACUACAGCCUUGGCAGGCAGCUCCAAGCUAAAUGCACGCACACAGCCCUCUGAUCCGUAACACACCUCCUCGCUGCCCGGGCAGGCCUGAGGACAGGCACAGACUUGUGCACGCAGCUGGCCCUGGUCGCUUUGUGCCACACUUCGCACUCCUGCUGCCCUGGCUGCGGCUUGCACGCGUUGUGCUCACACCCACCUGCUGUACGACAGCAGUCGUGGACUUGGACGUUCAUCUUUCCAUAGACCAUACUAACAGCCCAGUCUGCAAGGUGUAAAUGAGACAAUACACAGUUCUAUGAAGUCAACGAUAGCUUGGAGACUCACAAGUCUUUCAGAGAAAACACUAGGGAAGACGGAAUCAAGAGAAACUGAAUAAGAGAAACAUUCACAGUAACACCAAGAAAUAAGCAUAAAAACAUCAUGUUUAUUUCCCCUCCCCCCCACUAGGGCUUUCAGUUCUGUGAAAUAAAUUUGGCUUUAGAUUAACAAAAGAGUUAAAUUAACAAAAAUGCUAUUGCUUGCCCAAUUCAUUGUACAGAAGACUGGUGCCAGAUAUGGAGAUGCUCUGCUCUGUCUCCAUCU